rnacentral:rRNA from 1 species
GAUGAACGCUGGCGGCGUGCUUAACACAUGCAAGUCGAACGGUGAACACGGAGCUUGCUCUGUGGGAUCAGUGGCGAACGGGUGAGUAACACGUGAGCAACCUGCCCCUGACUCUGGGAUAAGCGCUGGAAACGGCGUCUCAUACUGGAUAUGUGACGUGACCGCAUGGUCUGCGUUUGGAAAGAUUUUUCGGUUGGGGAUGGGCUCGCGGCCUAUCAGCUUGUUGGUGAGGUAAUGGCUCACCAAGGCGGCGACGGGUAGCCGGCCUGAGAGGGUGACCGGCCACACUGGGACUGAGACACGGCCCAGACUCCUACGGGAGGCAGCAGUGGGGAAUAUUGCACAAUGGGCGCAAGCCUGAUGCAGCAACGCCGCGUGAGGGAUGACGGCCUUCGGGUUGUAAACCUCUGUUAGCAGGGAAGAAGCGAAAGUGACGGUACCUGCAGAAAAAGCGCCGGCUAACUACGUG